rnacentral:lncRNA from 1 species
CAGAACAUCACGGCAUUUGUUGUGGUAAAUAGUUCAGUGGCAAAGCGCCCGUUCCAUCUGCGGACCUCCAAAUGACCCUGAAUGCAGAGGUACAGAAAAGCUUUCCAUGCUCAUCCAGCCCAUCUCUGGUUACAUGAUAAGAAACGAGGCUGACACAGCAAUAUAAAUGUGACUACUCGCUAAGAAUGACCGCGGGUCAGGCCACAGGAUCCAGGGGAUACCCGGUAACAGAAGCUGUCAUAUUUAUCGCUGGCGUCUUCAGAGCCAGCUUGAGUAGCUGGAGACAGAGCACACAAAAGGACUAUUCAGUGCAGCCCAUGGUCUGAAAUGAAACAGAUGCGCUGUGGAAGUUUGCAAACUCCCCGGCACAGAAGGUUGGCAGAUCUGCGCUCUGUAACCAGGGCCCAUCUUCUUGGCAGAGCGCUCCGCACCCCGGUGCCAGUGGCACUGCUCCUGCUGUGCAGACGAAGGGCGGUCUGGAGGACAAAGCACUCAGCUUGGCAGUUAAAGGCAGGGAGAACUAAACCAAGGCUGAGAGCCCACUCGAGCUUUUAAGCCCUCCCACCAAUUUUGGAUGGUAAGAUUGCCCUGUGGACUCAGGAAAAACUGAUCAGAUUGAAGAGAACCUCCGGGUUCGUCCUGCAAACUGCAUGUGAACUUCCCCUGAGCAGGAAAUACACACUCUUAGGAGAAGUACCAACAAGUAUCACUGGAUCCUCACUCACGUGGGCAGGACCACUGUCCUGAGAGCAGUAUGGCCACCAGAAUCAUUGCUCAGCAGUGGGACCACAGGAGCCACCCUGUGUGGGAGCUCACAGUGCUCCCUUGCAGCCCCAGAUGGGUGUCGAAGCACUGCAGGUCAGGUGCAAGGGAUGGAAGUGGUCUGCUGGGGAAUGACCACCAAUAUGGGGCUGAGGGAAUCUGAAGCCCUGGCAACAGCCAUCCAUUUACUCACCAGACAGAUUGAAAGCAUUGUACAGGACAUCCUGGAUGGACUUUUUCAAACAAUAUGCGGUUUAAUGGUGGGAUUCAUCACCACCCAAUGCUGCGGAGGCCAAAUAUAUAAACAAGUUCAAAAAUGGAUUAGCAAAACUCAUGGAAGAUAGGUCAAUCGUAGACAAUUAAAUAUGGUAGUCCGGAUGCAACUUCCAGUUCAGGAAGUUAGUCAGCCUAAUGCCUUUCCACCUCUGAUUUACUUGUAAAAAGGAAGCCUGAAAAAUUCUCCUGAUGCCAAAACUCUCCCUCGGCUCCAAGCAUUAACUACAAUCACAAUAUACUCUUUUUUAUUUGGCAGGGGGAGGGGAUUACAUUUUCGUUCAGUAAUGAUAUUACAACAUGCUAUUUAUCUCCCCCUGCAGCUCCUGGACCUCUGUGUAACCUCCCAUCUCCCUGUCCUCCUAGGAAUAUCACAAAUAAAUUAGUGAAGUCUACUGGAAGGUGAUAGCAAUCACAGAUACUGCUAAAUUCCAUUUAGCAAGGAAUAAGGAAUCCAAUCACUUAUGUACAUAGGAAAGGUCUGAGUGGAUCACACUGUUAAAACAUUCUGUCCUUCAGAGUACCGGACCAGAGGAAGGUGCUGGAAAGCCAGGAUGGAAAAAAUACGAGCUGGUUUGUCCCCAAGGAAAGUUCUUUGUAACCUCAGGACAGUUAGCACUUGAUUUAUUCCCUGACACAUGCGGGCACAGAGGCUAAUUUUAUACAUAUACACUAAAUACACACAGAGUACAUCGCACACUGUGCUGCUGUGUAUCCCCAUCCCCUUUGGACCCUGUUAAACUCCCACAGGACCCAAAGAGCAGCUGACAGCACAGGUUAUCUGCUCCCUGUCCAGCUGCCCUCCUACCUGCUGCGCUUCUACCCACUACCUCCUUUUUGAGGGUGUUUUGGGGUGUUGCUGGAGAGCAAAGGACAAGAUGACAAAUGAGCUAACACACAGCAACGGAAUGUAAGUGAGUCUCAGCUAUUUUUAAUUAAGAAGCGAUGACAGCUGACUAAAUUCCCUGACACUGCAGUUAAAGGCUCUCUGACCCAGACAUCAUUGGACACUCUCCUACGACCAAUAUAUAUGGGUCCCGACGGUGCUUCUAUUAUUGUCCCCGCCGUCUCGACAGAUGCAGGACUAACAAAAUCUAUGUCUAUUAUCAGCAUGCAAAUAGUGAGAUAAAAGUGUGAAUGCUUAUGAGCCAGAGGAGGCAGCAGGUGAGAGGAGGACAAUGAAGGUCAUUUUCAAGGGAGUGCUGAAAGUGCCAAUGUUUGGCUUUCAAUAAAUGUUCACAAGGUUUAGACAAAUUUAACUGUCAUUUUCAUUUUCGGUUGGUUAAACCAAUGAUGGAUUGACCACGAGAGAGGCAGAGAGACAGAAAGAACAGUUCCUGCUGUAAGGCAGAUAAAAGAUAAGAGGUAAGGCAGCGUGAUCUGUGGACUGACUUCUCUCAGCCCACAGAUCACAGGGAGGGCUCCACAGAGAAAGCUUAUCUUCUCAUUCCCAGACCAAAGAACCCAGCAGCCCGGUAAGGGAAUCUGGAUUUGAAGGCCAGGGAUACACCUGACUUCAUACAAGGAUUCUUUAAAAGAGCUGAGAAUACAAGGUGUCCAGCUCCCACUACCACAACAGGCUGCCUAACCUGCAGUGCAACAAUACACCAUGAAGCCCAUGCUAGGCAAGGUGUCAGCUCUGCAUUGCUUUAGCUGCCUUGGAAAGAUGUCAAGACGAAGAUACCAACCACACAAAGACAAUACAAAACUCACUCACUUACUCAGGGCUUGCACGGGCAAUGAAUCCAGCAUGAGAUCACUUUACCUUGAGCUCACUAGUUGGUUUCAAUAGGACAGACAAAGAAAAGAUGCCCUUCUAUCCUCUCCAAAGGAUCAUGGAGAGAAGGGGUAAACUGGCAGACACGUCAAAGUCAAACAAAUCACGUACAAACUUGGCAUGAGCGAGACAAACACAUUAAGGAACAUCAUCAGGAACUUUCCAGUAUGGUUGCACAGUGGGAGGGGGAAAGAGAUGCUUUCUGCUGUUGCUAAGACAGUUCCCCCAGCCUUAUUCUCUCUACCAACCCAAUCGACGGGUGUUCUCCUCCCAUUGGCUCACCAGCUGCAUCGAAUGAUCAUGACAGGUUUUCGUCCUCCUCGCCCUAUUGGCUUCUGCCUAUGGCCUAUUAUCAGGGGAGAGCAAAUCAGACACGUAAUCAAUAGUUUGCGAGAAGGAACAGGGCUGCAUGAUGCUACAUUUGCAUGAAAUCUCUUGCUGCUAUGCCUCUGCAUUCAGAUAAGCACAGAUUAGCUGCAUCAGCCGCGCUUGCAGAGGUGAGCGUAGAUGGCAGACGGAUAGCAAAGCAGCACUGCAGUGAGCUGCCAAGGAAAGGCAGCACUGAACGCUCCAGUCCUGCUCUACAGAAGGUAAACCAGUGUGAAUCAAAGACCACCAGCAUCCUGCCCCAGCAUCAGUCUAGAUGUAUGCAGAAAACUUUUUUUGGUCGCCCACUGAACUACUAUUCCUGGCUUGGGUGCUCCUCAGGGCAAUGAGCUACAAGAAUAACAAAAAGGUGCAUAGCAGGGGAGAGAUCUUCCCUGUAGUGCCAUAAGUGAUGCCCUCUCCAGCAGGGAUGUAUGAAGAUGCUUUGUUUGAAGGCCUCCAGAAGCAUUCUGGGGUAGGCAGAGAGCAUGGAAGCACUCCACAAGGCCGCAGACAGCUUUCCUGGCCAGAUACAGGAUGGUGUGUGACAAGUCAGCCUCCAUAGCCACGCUCCUUGGUCACCACAAGGCCUGCAGGGACAUGGGAACAGUGGUUUCUUCAUCUUGCAGCCACAAAAACCCAUUAUUAGGCAGAAGAGCACAGCAGUAGUGGGAUAGUUUCCAGUCCCACCACAGCCCAGGUCAAGGCCUGGAACAAGAAGUGGCAGAUGAGUUGCAAUCGGUUUCCAACUAUAAGUAACGCUGCCUUGAACCAACAGCACACGUAUGAAACACCCGUGUAAAACAACCAGAUGUUGCCAAUGGCUUUCAAAUCAACCACAAAAUAAAACUCCUUCUUAAGGAUGGGAACCUCAGACACCAGGGGAUCAAGUGCACCACCAAGUCAAGCGCAGUUAACUAGUGAACCAGCCCCAGCCUUAAAGCUUUAAAUUCCCUGACGAAAUAUCCCCAGGCAUGUUUGGACAACAGGGAACAGCAGCCCUUCGGCUAUUUUCCUUUGCCACACAGGUGACUCAGUAUCCGGACUACAGAAGAAAAACUGGUGUUUCCUUUUCUGUCCAGGACCACAAGUGACUGGCAGCAGAAGGAGCUCAGUCCAGCUUCCAGCCUGCUCCUAACGGAGGAACACACAACUAAAAGAGGCCGAGGAACCCAGCAAACCCAUCCACUGCAGUUGGACAUGUGCACAUUCAAUGUACAUACACAGUCCAUGUACUUUCUUCCCUUAACAAUAAGCAGGUUCAUUUAGGAAGAGUUAUAACUUAGACUGUUAUAGCACAACUACGAGGCAAGACAGGAAAAUAUUCUCUGGAAAUUUCCACUGCCAACCUAUUUUUUUUUUCUGGAGGAGCAGUUGGACAAAAUACAGUGGAUCAGUUAAAAAAAAUUCUAAGUUUUUGACCUGAAUUCAUUCAUAUUUCUCACAUCGGUGGGGAUGGUUUCUUCAACAUAAGGUGGACUUUGAAGUUAGAAGGCAGAAAGAGAAAAGAGCCCAUCUAAUAAUUAGGUUCAAACCCCUACUUGAUCUCACCCUGUAAGGACCUUGAAUUAGGUCUACAGUUACCUAUCUGGCUUCAAGUAUUUUGGGAUCUCUCUCCAGCUGAUAUGGUCUAAGUUGCAUCCUAAGGCAGAACAGGAAGAAUGCUCUGAGUUCUCAAAAACGUUCAUGACUUUGGACAAAUACAUUAUAUUCAGCUUCAAAACAACUCCGUUCUCUUUUUGAUCUUAUGUAAUAGUCUAGAUGUCUGUGUUUUGAUUCCUCCCAAUUGUGCACUCAAACUGGUACAGAGCUCCAUGAAAGAAAAUUAAUGGACUGGAAGGAAACGUACACUUUUUUCUCUCUCUAAACCAUGUGCCUCUUUCCAGAGAAGAAAAGCAUGAAAUUUAGCAACAACUGAGCUGAUAAAACAAACUCAAAUAAGAACUCCUAUCAUAAGCUAAGUCUGCUUCAGCCACUCAAGAAGAUGGUACCAAUGAAUGAAGCCUUGUAGAUCAAUAAAAACCUCUUAAAUAAAACGAGAGCUCUUUCAGACUAAUUCAAGAAGCAUCCUACAAUGAAAAAAGAUUCUGUCCCUGAUGGCCUGGGAUCAGACUUCUUUUCUCCAUACUCUUAGUGCCUACACAACGGCAUUUAUCUGGACCAAUUAGAUUCUUACCAGGAACGUGUAGGAAAUACUCCACGCAAAGGUGAAGCUGCUAUGUUACAACCUAUGUUGCUCUGACUAUUAUGGUGAUCAGUUCACUUUUGAUUGAGCACUUCAUCACCAAAAUAGGAAGGGGUUCUCCCUUACCUGGGAAUGAAUUCAGUCCUGAAUGGCCUUGUUGGUGAGUUUGCAGCAAGAAGGCAAAAAAGGAUGGAUGCGCACUUCUUCGUCUCCACCUCGCAGCAGGCACAACCUAGGAUAACAACAAUGAGAAACAUAUAGAUAUAAGCCCAAUGGAUGAUCAGGCAGCAAACAUAGGGACGGGAAGGAAAUAAAACCUCUGAGCCUUUCUCGGGGAUACAGAGUGCUCAGACACCUUCUGCUAUCUGUUCAUCCCACAGCAAUACCGAGACAUUCCGUACAGCCCCAACGGCCGUACGCAGCAGUGCAGGCAAAGGAAACAAAGCUGGAGCUCAAGCAGGGGAACACUGGUGUUCACAGGUCUGCUUCCACACCCCAGCCCUGCUCAUGAUAUAUCUGUCUCUAGCUCAGAGCUUGGACCUCAGGGCUUUCAGGCUGCCAUUUACCAGCAGUCCUGGUGGAGAAGGAGGAGUCAAGAAACCCGAGAGCCAUUUCUGAGCCAAAAGGUUUUGUUCAGAUUCAUUUUCAACUUUUCAUUUUGAAAUGUUUUCGUAAUUCCCAGCAUCUCUCCUUUCAGAUCUGCCUCACUUUAAAAAAUGCUGGAAUGUCACUGCUCUUCUAAUUGUUGUUCCAUAGAGAUAACUGUUUUCUGUAUGCAUUUCAGAAUUGUUACAAGAAACAAUCCAAGAAUAUAGCCAUCCUUUCUUAGUACACUGUAUAACUGUUCAUGAAGGGUUUCAACUUGUCUUGAUCUGCUUCUGGUUUGUUUCCCAGCUUCAUCUCAUUAGUACAAUAUCUGAAGGAGUUCAUAUUAUUAAUAAAGCCAAACCACAGGAAUACAUCUCGUAACUGCUCUAUUUCUCUGAUGCCGAAGGCUAGUAAAAGGUCUCCAAACUUCAAUUUCAUCUUUUAAUAGCUCUAUGCAAGGUAACUCAACGUUACUAGUCCCAUUUUGCUAUUAAACAGAGGCACGGAAGAGUGAUAAGAACAGUCCCAGGCCAUAAAACAAGUAGAAAAAGACAACCAAACCCUGAGUCCUGAUCCACAGCCUCCUGCUCCGUCCCAGAGGACAACAUUCUUUCCUAUGACUACUAAAAAUAUUGGGGUCUCCUGUGAAACAGACGGCAGUGCUAAUUUUUGAGGUGAAACGAGCUACCCAGCAUGGGAAACCAUGGAAGAGAAUAUAAUACUCUCAACUUCCUGAACUAUUGUACAAUAAACAGCUUCAGAGCUGGUUUUCCACAGAGACACCUGUAUUUUAGGAACAGAUAAGAAACGACACGUGCAUAUACGUGGUCACACCUUCUUUUUUCCUAGCUGCAUACACAUACAUAGCCAACAUGCACAAAAAUAAAAUACAUGUGUGUAUAUUAAAUAUGCAUCCAUCCGUAUCAAAGUCACCACAACCAGAAGGAGCUUUGAAGUUUGACUCAGCACGGCCUGAAAAAAAUGCACAGAAGCACAAGAGCCAGCAAAUCCUGAGCUCAGACCCAAGAUGUGACUCACCAGGUCGUCGGGAGCAACUCAAUACUUUCACUGCCUUGGUUUCCCCAGCUGUAAAACAGAGCUAAUUACACCACAGCGCAGCUGUGGGAAUGAGCUGCCUGCUCUGUGCACAGUGCUUCAGGCACAGAAAAUGCAAAGACCUGCUUGAAUGAGAGUCUGAAGCCAAGGCACUUCCUUCAAGAUGCCUCUCCCCAGCAGCCACGCAUUGCACCUGCCCAUAAAACGCCCAAGCUUCCCAUUUGUCCAUUGGUCACAACUUUAUGCCCUUCCCUCAACAUGUGCCACCCCACAGCCCUCUCCCAACGUCACCACCUGGCUACCUCUCCAUAUAUUUCUAUAACUCUUCAGAAGUGCUACAUAAGCCAGGAGUGCCUUUGGUACCAAUGCCAGUGGCUCUCAUGAAUGCCGACUCUUAAAACAGAGAGAAUAAGCAAACUAACCUUGUUAGUUUCCAGGCUCAUUUGUUUAGGAUGACAGAUUGACAAACAUGGUCUCUUCCACCUUUUUCUUUUUACAAACAGCUUUUUAUAUCUCAUACCCCAAAAUAAGCCCUGACCCAGCUGCGCUGCCAUGUUAAACAGUAAUUACUCUAUAUAAGGCUGACCGAAUGGGAAUAUUUGUGGGACAGUGGAAUGGAAUUAUUUUAGGACUUACACAAACUCUCUCUGGGAGUGGCAAGGCUGGCUGUGGGUAAUGUGGUGUACCUAAGAAACAAGUGGACACAGGAAGGUUUUUUCUUCUUCUUCCAGGCCUCCAUUAAAACACACAAUAGCUGACAUUAAACCACUUUCCCAAACUUCUACUCAGGUAAAAAGAUAAAACUAAAAAAAAUGUAUUAAAAAUACAUAUUAAUGUUUCAUCCUGGCUAUGUUAAGGAUGCACUCACCAUCUUUUGGCCACAUCUGGGCCCACUGGAUACUUGUUACUCACAGAGGAUGAGCCCAUCAAUACAUCAACCCCUUCCCCUCUCAAGUACUCAGAGCAUCAUUUCCAAGGACCUCAUUUGAAGCAGGUGAGAGCUUGCAAACAGAACUGCUCUCACCUGGGGCACGGCCUGCCUUGUAGGAGGGUGGGGAUCUCUGCGGGGAAUCCUAGAGGAGGCUGACAGAGCUUACAGAGUGGCAAUGCUCAGUUCAAAAAACCUGCAGAAAUUAGUGGCAUGCCAUUCUGGUGCAAGUGGCAGUUUUCCAGUUUCCAAAAUAUCCCUCCUCCUUAUGUCACGGUAAAAAAGUGUAAAAACAGAAAGUGGUUUAGCAAGUAGGAACAUUGCAAUUCAAAAUAGCAUCAGAGAGGAUUAGAGCAAAUACCCAGACUGUUCUAACGUGUGUUUACGGCCCAAAUACUGUACCAAUUCCUGUUAUUUUCAGGGCUUUCUUCCUGUGUUGUAACAUUCUCUCUGGGAUUAAACUUGGCCCAUACAACAUGUGACUCAUCUGACUGCAAGUCCUUGGGCAUGUGCUGCAGGUUUGGUUGCUGCUCAUUGCUGACGACCCAUCCUACAACCUCAGAGCCCAAUGCAACACAUUACACUGGGACUUUUGCUGAAGGGGUAGGAAGAAAAUGACAGCAUCUGCCUAACGCUAAAUUUUCACGCUUAAUUAAGGACUUGAAAAAUAAGUCAGUUUUCUGAGCAGGAUGGUGGGUGAAAAAUAAAAGAAAGUGAGUUUUUAAUGAUUUCAGAGAAACACGAGCCCAUUCUCUCGUCACCGUGCACCCUUGCAGCCAGGAAUUUCAUGUUAGAAAUUCGUUGCUAUGGAACUCAUGUUAUCUGCAGCAUGGAGCACUGCUGAUGGCCAAGCUAAUCCCAGGUGGCACUCCUCUGCCUUCACUGAUGUAAAACAGAUUCACUGCUUUCAGGUUUGCCUUUCAUUCUACCUGACUUCCUGCGUUCCAGAAGGUAACUCCUUUUUCUGCUCCUGUCUCUGAUUAGUUCCUUGUGUUACCUCUACACGAUGAGAGUAUUCAAUACUGAACCCAACCUGCUGGUCUUCAUUCUCCUUCUGUAACCUGCACAAGCACCAGCACCCCACCAAAACUCCCUUCUGACACAGUAUUGCCUUCAGAGUUAGUGUGAAACUCACAGGUGAGCUCAAUUUUAGCUGUAAUGAGGCACAAGAUGUAGCAGGAGCUAACUGAAAGAAUAAGAAUUCAAAGAAUAGAAACAGGGAAAAAAAUCAACUGUGCAGAAGUAAUGGAUUUGUGAGCCUAGCAACAGGCUACGAGGUCUUCUAGCUCUUAAUUAUCACUUCAAAUCAUAAUUAUCAAAGGUCUUCCAAUAGAAAGAAAAAAAAAAAGAUAAUCACUUCCACUGACUGAAUGCUGAAUAUCUCACCUGGAAGCAGAUAAGCAGAUCCCCCCCGAGGUUGUUUGCCAGUGGGAAGGAGCAACCAUGAACUGGGAAAGCAGCUUCUGUUGUCUGGUUCAGAGAAGGGACUUCACCAGUACUGGCAGACCCUGAAAGAGAAGGAAAUUCUUGCUCAGUGGUGGAAUUAGAAGCGAUGGGAGGCCAUGAUGAGAGGAAGUACUGCACACCAAGUUGGGAGGAAGCAUUGGACACCAUGUUAGGAGGAAGCACUGGACGUGCCUGGGGGAAGGAAGGCCUGGUGUAGGGAUGCAGACAGGCUGCAUGGUUGGGCUGAGGCCAGCUGUAGGAGGUUCAACAAGACCAAGUGCCAACUUUUAGAUUCACCCUCCUAACGCUGACGGUGCUGACUGAGUGCAGCUCCGUGCUCACACUUCUCCUUUCAUUGUGACCAGACUGAUGUGCGUGUCACUCUCAAUCUCUUAUAUUCCACAGCCCUCCUUUAAAAACAAUCAAACGAUCACAACGUAGGAAUUAGAGACGCUUAAACAGAAUUAUGGAAAGUAAACACACAUACCUUCUGUGCCGCUGGGUUGCUGUAAAACACUGCUUUAUUUCUUCUCUCUCAGCCAACAUUCACCUACAUGGGACAAAAAAAAUUUAAAUUCAAAUGUUACAUCUGGUUGCUUACCAACACAAGGUUUGUUUACAAACGAAAACGUCUUUGGCGCAGUUUGACCCAAAGCCAAGUGAAGUUCGAAGAUUUGGAAACAGAACCAUUAGCAGACUUCAGCUCACACUGCACUACAAAUGUGGCUCAGCUUAAGAAUCCAUUGCAACUACAAACUGCUCUCCCUGUUCUGUUAUUGUUCUCCUGCUAUAUCCAAACAGAAUUUCCCUUGUUGCAGCUAUGAUCUUAAUUAAUGCCCUUAGUACUGAGGUACUAAUUAAAUAAAAGCACUGUUACAUACACUAGGUAAAGCAAGGCAUGCUGGUACAAACUGCCCAGCAUCAAAUAUUAGGGACAGAGCUGCAAAUACAACAUCAGGGCCCAAAUUCCCCAUCUUCUGUCACCUUUUAGACCAAACAGCCUCUGAUGAAGUGCCAGAGAGGAAAAUACGAGCAGAACCUCUGCUUAGGCUUCUUCUUUCUAGCUGUAGCAGAGCUCCAUGCAGGGAAGGAGUGCAAUCACACGGGGCCAGAUGUUCAGCACAUCAAAAUCCAUCAACUCCAGCGCCUUCAGUGAAGCUAUGCCAAUUUACAUCAGUUGAUGGUGUGACCUAUAUUACGAAAACUUGCUUGAAGCAGCUAAGGAAUAUAACCCUGAUUUAUUCCAAAUACAUUAUAUUUAGCGCCGUCACUUCUCUCUUUCAUGCCAACAUGCAAGCACAGGAGACAGACACAUUUGGAUCCUCUCAGCUGGGAAUCGUGUUCUUGCAACACUCCUAGAUGAUGCACAUACUGUCUCUAUUUGUGUUCACCCUUUCAGAUGGCAUGCUGCCCACAAAAGAAGCUGAUUAGCGCUUGCCCUGGGCUAUCAAGGCAAGGCAAUGACUCAAAGCUGCCCGCACCCAGGGUUGGCUGAAGCCAUCACACAAAGCCCUGCGACACAUCCCCCCAGCGAAGGGCCGCUGAGCUCCCCCGGCCUGGCAAAGGAUCAGCAGUCCUGAAAACAGAGCACAGCCAACUUCAACACAAACAGCCCAGGAUGAGACAGCACUAUUUUGGACCCAGCCGAUGCAGAAGCGCAGUGGGUUGGGCUCCUUCAACCCCGGGCUGCUCUGCUGCUCCUCUGAGCCCCAGAAUUCCCACCUGCUCACACACAAAUGCUGCAGAGGAAAAGGAGAAUUUGAGGCACUGAGCCCGGCAGAGCUGCAGCCCCAGUGAGAAUGAUGCUUCUGCUCACGGCCAUGGGCACUCCCUGACUCGUGCAAGGAGUCCAGGAGCUGUGUGCAACGGCUCUGCUGUCCUCUGCUUGGCAUCAGGUAUGUGCAAGCAAGCAGAGACAGGUGGAGGGGAGCACCUACUGCUUUUCUGCCUCAUGCUGCACAGGACUUAAAGCUCUGCUCCAUUUUAUAACGCUGAGGCUCUUCCAGAAGACACAAAAUACACAGAUAAGCCAUGUUCUCACUGACCCAUGCUCCACUCAGCACAAGGAUUCCUCUGCAAGAAAAGCUCCUGAAAUCCACAUGGUUCCUUUCUUAUUUACCUUUUUUAUCUUUGCUCAUUUUCUACAAAGAAAAGUAACCCAACCUCGGUUCAGUAUAAACCUAGCUGGAAACAAAAAC